AAGCGGCAACAGCUCAAAUUUGAAAGCUAGCCUUCGGGUUCGCAUUGUAAUUUGUAGAGGAUGAUUUGGGGAAGCCGCCUGUCUAAGUUCCUUGGAACAGGACGUCAUAGAGGGUGAGAAUCCCGUAUGUGACAGGAAAUGGCACCCUAUGUAAAUCUCCUUCGACGAGUCGAGUUGUUUGGGAAUGCAGCUCUAAAUGGGAGGUAAAUUUCUUCUAAAGCUAAAUAUUGGCGAGAGACCGAUAGCGCACAAGUAGAGUGAUCGAAAGAUGAAAAGCACUUUGGAAAGAGAGUUAAAAAGCACGUGAAAUUGUUGAAAGGGAAGCGCUUGCAAUCAGACUUGUUUAAACUGUUCGGCCGGUCUUCUGACCGGUUUACUCAGUUUGGACAGGCCAGCAUCAGUUUCGGCGGCCGGAUAAAGGCUCUGGGAAUGUGGCCUCCACUUCGGUGGAGGUGUUAUAGCCCAGGGUGUAAUACGGCCAGCCGGGACUGAGGUCCGCGCUUCGGCUAGGAUGCUGGCGUAAUGGUUGUAAGCGACCCGUCUUG
rnacentral:rRNA from 1 species